rnacentral:rRNA from 1 species
UACAGAGGGGGCAAGCGUUAUUCGGAAUUAUUGGGCGUAAAGGGCGCGUAGGCGGGCCGGCAGGUCAGGGGUGAAAGCCCGCGGCUCAACCGCGGAAGCGCCCCUGAUACCGCCGGCCUCGAGGGGGGUAGGGGCGUGCGGAACUGUGGGUGGAGCGGUGAAAUGCGUAGAUAUCAGUCGGAACACCGGUGGCGAAGGCGGCUUCUUGGGCCGAGAUUGACGCUGAGGCGCGAAAGCUGGGGGAGCGAACGGG